CGAGCAAGACAGAUGAUCGCGUCUUUUUGACGAGGAAAGUCCGAGCACCACAGGGCAGGGUGCUGGGUAACACCCAGUGGAGGCGACUCCAAGGAUAGUGCAACAGAGAUAUACCGCGUCCUUCGGGACGUAAGGGUGGAAAGGCGAGGUAAGAGCUCACCAACGGCUUGGCGACUUGUCCGUUCUGUAAACCCCACCUGGUGCAAGAUUGAUAGCGGAGCAUUUUGCGGCGGCCCGCCCGCUCCCAUGUAAUCGCUGGAGCCCGUUGGUAACUUCGGGCCUAGAUAGAUGAUCAUCCUAUGACAGAACUCGGCUUAUGGCUUGUCUCGCAAG
rnacentral:RNase_P_RNA from 1 species